rnacentral:lncRNA from 1 species
AGGCUAUAUACAGUAGAGAGGCUAUAUACAGUAGAGAGGCUAUAUACAGUAGAGAGGCUAUAUACAGUAGAGAGGUUAUAUACAGUAGAGAGGCUAUAUACAGUAGAGAGGCUAUAUACAGUAGAGAGGCUAUAUACAGUAGAGAGGCUAUAUACAGUAGUGAGGUUAUAUACAGUAGAGAGGCUAUAUACAGUAGAGAGGCUAUAUACAGUAGAGAGGCUAUAUACAGUAGAGAGGCUAUAUACAGUAGUGAGGCUAUAUACAGUAGAGAGGUUAUAUACAGUAGAGAGGUUAUAUACAGUAGCGAGGCUAUAUACAGUAGAGAGGCUACAUACAGUAGAGAGGCUAUAUACAGUAGAGAGGCUAUAUACAGUAGAGAG